AUGACCUUGGCGGCAGGUGGCGUCGCGGUGGCGUCGGCCCGAGCCACCGCCCCCUCCUCCUCAAAGCUCCCCAAUGCGGCGCGGCCAAAGAAGGGCAAGACAUCGGCGAAGAAAAACAAGGCGGCGGACGGUUCCGGCACCUCCAAGGCGAGGAGGAAGAAGUUUGCGGGGCGUGCGACGGGCGCGGCGGCUACCGAAGCGCCGGCGAGCUCACUCGUUGAGCCGGCGGCCGACGCACACAACAUGUUCGACGAAAUGCCCCCAAGUCUCAAUGAUGAUGCAUACAUGUCAACGAUGGGUGUUGGCUCCAACAAUUCGCAUUGUUCUCAAACCAAUGACAUGCAUUUCGAAAACCAUGAGUUCAAGGUGGACGAGGAGGGUGAGGGCAUUGUCGACGCACCGAGAGGGAGAGCGGGUAAUUACACCAACACCGAUGACAUCUUACUAUGCAAUACUUGGUUGCAAGUGUCGAGGGAACCAUCCGUUGGAGGUGAUCAAAGUAGAGAUGAUUAUUGGCUUCGGAUGAAGGAACACUUUGAUGUUCGCAACGUGAGUGGAAUUGACCGGUCCGACCGAUCACUUCGGUCCCGGUGGUCGACUAUCAACUCGGAUUGUCAAAGGUGGGCGGCCUGUCAAAAGGCGGUUGACAAGUUGAACCCAAGUGGCACAAAUGAGGACGAUAGAUACAACAUUACGCAAAACUUGUUCAAAGAAGAGGAGAGGAAAACCAAGAAGGGGAAGAUCAAGAAAGGAAGGAUAUUUACUUUGCCUCAUUGCUAUGAAGUGUUGAAGGAUGAUGAGAAAUGGAAGAAGCGUGAAGAUUUGGAUGAUUUGCCUUUGAGCAACAAACGGAAGCAAACAAUUAAGUUGGAUGAUGAUGAGGAUGAUGCAUCAAGUGAUGACGGCAAGAGAAGCCCCACACCCAACUCGGUUUCAUACUCGAAGCCAAAGAACCAAGAUGCCGCGGCCGAGGAGAGGAGGUUGGCGGCCGAGGAGAGGAGGGUGGCGGCCGAGGAGAGGAAGGUGGCUUUGGAGGAGAGGAAGGUGAGCAAUGAGGAGCGAACAAGAUUGUUGGAAUGGGAGAAACACUUGUUCUUCUUGGACACAUCUAUCCUCAAUGAGGUGCAAAAGGAGUAUGUCAAUCUUGCCUGUGAAGAAGUCUUGAUCCAAAAAAGAACCAUGAUUCGUGCAAUGGGUGGCGGUGGCCUCGGCGCCAUGGGUGGCGGUGGCAUCUGCGCCAUGGGUGGCAUGGGUGGCUUCGGAGGUACCAUGGGCGGUGCAAUGGGAGCCAUGGCUGGCUUUGGAGCACCCCCCGACGCUAUGGCCACCAUGGGAGGCAUGGGUGCACCUCCGGCCGUCAUGGGCGGAAUGUCUUUCAAUGUGCCUCCUCGCACACAUUCCCAUGAAGAUGCCGUUGAAGAUCUUGCCAACAUCAUCGGAGCUUCACGUGAUGCUGUGCGCGAUGAGGAGAGGGAGGAAGAUUCAUCUUCGGAGGCGGAAGAAUCGUCUUCCGAAGAUCAAGACGAGGACGAAGAUGAGGACGAGGAAUGA
rnacentral:rRNA from 1 species